GUUUAACGUCACAAAUAAACUGACGGGCUACAGAAACGCUACCAUAGAUUAAAAACCCUAAUGUGAAAUAACCACAAAAGAUAGAUCCAUAAAACAAAAUGUAUUUUUAACAAUAACAUGUCAAGUUAUAAGACUCAUAAAAACGCAACAAUGAAACUUCCCGUUUUAACAUGCCAUUUUUCCAAGUGGAAAACUCAUUGUUGCGUUUGGGCGAUGUGUUUUCAUGUGAUGGUAAUUGCAGCUGAAUUUGGAACUUUUGGUAAUUUAAAUUUCAAAGUGGUAACGUUUCCUAAGCUGUCAGUUUAGAAUUAUGCAUUUAAGAGCUUUCUGUUAUGUAGUGUCAUUUUAAUUAAUUUUAAUUUUAAUUGAAGA